UUAAGAAAGGAUCCGUUUUCCAGGAAGUCAUCCCGAUUUCUCCCACCCAUUGGGCUCAACCCUUAUCCUUUGGUUCAAAAGGGAUUCCGCUGCAGCAUGAACCCCUAAGCAUUAACAUUUUCUCGUUUUAGUUGUUGUUCUGAGUUAGUAAGAAGUCGGCCGAACGAAACAGCUGUUACAAAACAACACCUUUGGAGAAAAUGUCAACCCCCGCCGAAGCGAAAAGUUUACCUCAUUACAAGCGAAGAAAGAAUCCCCACACCCACACCGGGGGACACCGGAGGGUCUGGAAGCGUGCCAAAACGGUGCGAUAUGGUCACAAGAGCGUUACAACGCAUUACGCCAUUACGAAGGUUGAAGGUGUGCCGCAUUACGACAUUUUGAUCCUUCACAGGCAGUCGUCCUUUUGCGCUGCCUUGUUUUGUCGUUGGACAGUCGCUGUGCAGAGUAGGCUGAGAACUGACCUUGCGUACAGUUUUACGCACGGGGCAAUGUCGAAUGUAUAGAACAGCGUUACUUUGCGCUAAACAAACUGCGAAAACGACAAAAAAGGGGCUCGCGCGCUAACAGCGAACUUUUAAGCUCUGCUCCACGUGAUGGAUCGUCGGGACUGCUGGUGCUGCUGCUGUUUGCAUGUCAUUUAAAUGUAAAUUAAUUGUUGCUACCUUUUUCACUAGCCGUUGCCGUUGUUGUUGUUGUUGAGGCACACGGGCGUAAAGCAAUAGCAACAAACCCGGCACUGGCUUGUGUGCCUUUCCAUUUCGAUUGAGCUAAUUCGCUGUAAAAAACAAAGGCGGUUUGUGAAAGGGAUACUUUUCCCAAGGCUAACACCCGCGUUCUGGAGCAUUUUUUCCACAGCAGCGACGCGAGGGACAGCACAACUAAAGCAAGUUAAUCGAUGUUGAUGUUAUUAUUUCAUUUCACAUUCUUUUGCCCGCAACGCUUGUUAGCGAUAGAGCGCCGAGCUUUGCCGGUUCAAUACUGGCUGUGGGGGAGCUUUCCUUGGGAGUUUAAUGUAAAAUAAGAAAAGGAAACGUUCGCUUCACUUGCAAAACAAUACACUAGGCGUACCGUGCGUUCGCUACUAAACCGAAGCUUAAGACGUACUGCUUCCGGUUUAUCACCACCCACCGGUUUGUCGGUUUGUGUGUCCGUGUGCCCGAAAGCCAUGACCUUUUCCACACGGCAGCAUGGUUGUGUCAGCGCGCGGGGGGGUUUUGCUGCAGCAACAAAACGCAACCAGAGCACCGGUUCGGUUGAUAUGAAGGUGGUUUGCUUUUUUAUCGCUCACCAUCCUCGACCCAACCGUAAAAGACUAUUUUCUUUAGCCGAGGAGUGGGUUGUGUAUAAAUCCGCAUCCGGUAGAGUGAAAAUGGGAUAUUGCGUCGGUAAAAAAGGAUGUUAAUAACAAAAAGGAACUCUUUGUAGAUCAAGGUUUAUCAUCGAAAGGUUAUUCUUAAAAAAAAAAGUCUAUUAAACUUGCUUUUCUAUACUGUGCCCUAUCAAAACUUUAAGCGAAGAAACUUAACAAUACACCCAUAAUACACUUGCCAUUAAAAGUAUAUUCCUCUUUUUUUUAGGGCAUGAACCCUUUUGUCAUCGAAAAAAUCGAGCAUAAUCCUGUAGACACCCCGGGCGCGCACCACCUGUAUGAAGUGGUGUGUGGCUCAAAAGCUGCCUCCUCGAUAACACCCUUCAUGAUCCCGCGAACGAUGAUUCUCGCUUUUAUUAGUGAGCACGAGAAAAUUGUUCCACCCGGUGUGUGUGUGUGUUUCCCUCUAUAUAGUUCCACACACCCACCCUGGCCUCACCUGGGGAUCGGUGUGCAGUUUUAAAGUUCCAACCACUGAGGGGAAGUAGCGGAUGGUGGUAGAAAAAUAGCCUGAAAAUAGCGCGCUCAUACCGUACCAUAUGGUGUGUACUACGGCCACCGGGCGUUUUUUUUCCUGUUGCGUGACACGGUGCGGUUAUGCCACCCGGUUACCGGGUUGGUGUGUGCGCGCGAUAGGAAUAUUUCGUGGAACGGCUCGUGUCUGGGCGCGCGUGCCUACCCCCAGGACAAUCGCAUGGCAAUCGGAUUGAACGCGCAACAUUUUCCAUACAAUCCGCAGUGUUGCGUUUUCUUCGCGCCAACUUUGCCUGUAUUUUCAAUGAGCCAACCCCCAGGACAACCCCCAGGACAAUCGCAUGGCAAUCGGAUUGAACGCGCAACAUUUUCCAUACAAUCCGUAGUGUUGCGUUUUCUUCGCGCCAACUUUGCCUGUAUUUUCAAUGAGCCAAGCGAUUUUACCCCCUCCUACACGCAUUGUAUCCUACAGCACGCUUGACGCGGCAACGUUCACCACAUACACACACACAUCUCCACACUCAGGGUACGACAUCUUCCCUGUUGCUGUUCUGGACUCAGACAAAAUUUGUGUUUCUACACUUAUUGUUCAAAAAAGUAGUAGCUCUUAGGAUCUGAAUUUACAAACAAAUAUCAAAAUGUUAUGUUCUGCUAAUGAUAUUGCACUAAAUUUAAUUGCACUACAUUAAGUUUUUACAUAUCUUUCGUAAAAGUUCGUCAGAGUAUGAAAAUGUCGAUUCAAUUUGUCAUGAAUAACUUGAAUUUUAAGAUUUUCGCGCAUAAAAUUAUGACGCGCGCUGUCUGUGCGGCGGCGUAAGUCGCUACUCGUAUAGCCGUCUCGCUUCUUCUUGUGUGUGCUUUACCGUUGCUCACCGCUUCAAGAACAUUGCUGCUCACACACACGUCAGUCUGUGGCAAACAAUUGGAGGGGGAGGAUGUGUCGGUUUGCUCCAGAAAUCGUGUGUGAUUUUGGUGUUCUGGAUUUGGUUCCAUCGCUGUUUGUUUUGAUGAAUUUGAAAAGGUAAGAAUCAUCAACCGAUGUAAAAGUGUGAGAGUAAGAUGAUGCUGAUGGUGACUGAUGCUUUUCUUUGUUUUUUUCGGCUUUUAUCCACUGAUGGCGUCGAGCAUCGCCGAGGAUGUGAUCGAAUGCGGAAUAUUCUAAACGAGGAGCUUCAUUCCGGAUUUUGUUUGCAAUAAGCGCUGAACUCAUCCUCCAGCUUACAACGAACGGUCAACGGAUGAGGAAGGAGAGGAGGGACGGCGAAGGUACACGCACAAACGUGCACACCUCAGCCUUGUCGGAGAACGAGAACACGGGAGGGGGAGACCGGCAACGUAGGUUCUAUACGUUCUUCAUUUACGCUCCCUCGUGCGUUCGUGCGUGCGUGCACGCGCGCGUCUGUGUGUGUGUGUAUGUGUGUGCAUGCCUGCGAGCGUGGCUGUGUGUGUUUUUGCCGCUUCGCUUAGCGAGAUCCUACGGGAUCACCUUGUGAAAAACACCAGAGAGGGGAGGGGUAGGUGUAUGUGUAUGUGUGUGUAUGUGUGCUUGCAUGCGUACGUGGUUGUGAGUGUGUUUUUUGCUGUUUCGCGAUCUCCUACGGAAUCAAAAGGGGGUGGGGGGAAACACGAGGGGGGGGAGGAGUGAGGUGUGUGUUUGUGUUCUAGCCUGCAUGCGUGCGUGGCUUUGUCUGUGUGUGUUUUUGCGUUCGCGUUCUCCUACGGGAUCACCUUGCGAAAAACACCAUGGGGAGGAGAAGGUGUGUGUGUGUGUUUUCUCUUCUUUGUCGUUUCGCACUCUCCCGUGGGUCUCCUUGUGUGCGUUAGUUUUUUUGUUUUUCAAGAAGAAAAAAAAUACUUCGAAAAAUACCAGUGGGGAGGGUGUGUGUAUGAAUGAAAGAAUGUGCUUAGAAAAAGAAAGUAGAAAAUAAAAAAAAUAUUGAACAACGGAUUCGUAAGUGUGUUUGAACUCAUUGCUAUCCGAAAAAAAGCGUGGGGGGGCUCUUGAAAUGUAGUACACAUGUAUGCAACAUGUAUCGUGUCGCCGCGACGGUGUAUCUCGCUCAAUCCGUUAAGCCUGAAAAGUGCUUCUAUCGGAUCGUCUAAUCGGGCGCCAUUUAAUCAAUCCGUUAGCGAAAAGUCGCAUGGAUUUUGGUACCGGGGAAGCGAUUUUACCCCCUCCUACACGCGAUGUAUCCUAAAGCACGCUUGUCGCGGCAACGUUCACCACAUACACACACAUCUCCACACUCAGCGUACGACAUCUUCCCUGUUGCUGUUCUGGACUCAGACAAAAUUUGUGUUUCUACACUUAUUGUUCAAAAAAGUAGUAGCUCCUAGGAUCUGACUUUACAAACAAAUAUCAAAAUUUUAUGUUCUGCUAAUGAUAUUGCACUAAAUUUAAUUGCACUACAUUAAGUUUUUACAUAUCUUUCGUAAAAGUUCGUCAGAGUAUGAAAAUGUCGACUCAAUUUGUCAUGAAUAACUUGAAUUUUAAGAUUUUCGCGCAUAAAAUUAUGACGCGCGCCGUCUGUGCGGCGGCGUAAGUCGCUACUCGUAUAGCCGUCUCGCUUCUUCUUGUGUGUGCUUUACCGUUGCUCACCGCUUCAAGAACAUUGCUGCUCACACACACGUCAGUCUGUGGCAAACAAUUGGAGGGGGAGGAUGUGUCGGUUUGCUCCAGAAAUCGUGUGUGAUUUUGGUGAUCUGGAUUUGGUUCCAUCGCUGUUUGUUUUGGUGGAAUUGAAAAGGUAAGAAUCAUCAACCGAUGUAAAAGUGUGAGAGUAAGAUGAUGCUGAUGGUGACUGAUGCUUUUCUUUGUUUCUUUUCCUGCUUUCAUCCACUGAUGGCGUCGAGCAUCGCCGAGGAUGUGAUCGAAUGCGGAAUAUUCUAAACGAGGAGCUUCAUUCCGGAUUUUGUUUGCAAUAAGCGCUGAACUCAUCCUCCAGCUUACAACGAACGGUCAACGGAUGAGGAAGGAGAGGAGGGACGGCAAAGGUACACGCACAAACGUGUACACCUCAGCCUUGUCGGAGAACGAGAACACGGGAGGGGGAGACCGGCAACGUAGGUUCUAUACGUUCUUCAUUUACGCUCCCUCGUGCGUUCGUGCGUGCGUGCACGCGCGCGUCUGUGUGUGUGUAUGUGUGUGCAUGCCUGCGUGCGUGGCUGUGUGUGUUUUUGCCGCUUCGCUUAACGAGAUCCUACGGGAUCACCUUGUGAAAAACACCAAGAGAGGGGGAGGGGUAGGUGUAUGUGUAUGUGUGUGUAUGUGUGCUUGCAUGCGUACGUGGUUGUGAGUGUGUUUUUUGCUGUUUCGCGAUCUCCUACGGAAUCAAAAGGGGGUGGGGGGGGAAACACGAGGGGGGGGAGGAGUGAGGUGUGUGUUUGUGUGCUAGCCUGCAUGCGUGUGUGUGUGUUUUUGCGUUCGCGUUCUCCUACGGGAUCACCUUGCGAAAAACACCAUGGGGAGGAGAAGGUGUGUGUGUGUGUUUUCUCUUCUUUGUCGUUUCGCACUCUCCCGUGGGUCUCCUUGUGUGCGUUAGUUUUUUUGUUUUUCAAGAAGAAAAAAAAAAUACUUCGAAAAAUAGGUGGGGAGGGUGUGUGUAUGAAUGAAAGAAUGUGCUUAGAAAAAGAAAGUAAAAAAUAAAAAAAAUAUUGAACAACGGAUUCGUAAGUGUGUUUGAACUCAUUGCUAUCCGAAAAAAAGCGAGGGGGGGCUCUUGAAAUGUAGUACACAUGUAUGCAACAUGUAUCGUGUCGCCGCGACGGUGUAUCUCGCUCAAUCCGUUAAGCCUGAAAAGUGCUUCUAUCGGAUCGUCUAAUCGGGCGCCAUUUAAUCAAUCCGUUAGCGAAAAGUCGCAUGGAUUUUGGUACCGGGGUAGGCAAAAAAGAAAAGCAAAAAAGGGAAGCAUGAAGGGGGGAUAAUAAAAUAAAAUAAAAAUAAAACGACUCCGUGGGCUUUAUCUAAUACAUAGACACGGGCGCACACACACACUCUCAUAGACACUUUUCAACAUAAAUGGGCUUCCACGUAAUAGAAUUAUCCUACGGGAGGUGGGUUUUGGAAACAUUUUACUCUAGCACCUAGCAAGCCCCUGUGUGAGAGAGUGAGGAUAUUGGGGACGAGAUUGUAAUUUUGAAAUGUACGUUUUUUUUUUCAUUCUUUCUUUGCCUCGUGUCGUUCAUCCACAAAACGCUUGCAACACGUGUAGCUAAGCGGGACGGAGGCGCUAUUAGAUUAUAAUUCAGGCGUUCGGUUUGUGGGAAGGGGUUUUUUUACUGCCUUUGUGAUGAUCCGCCAUCCAGAUCGGGGCAGAGAUUUAUUAAAAAUGUAUGUCAAUUAUGUUGAUAUGAAGUGACGCACUUGCCGAGUGCGAGUGUUGUCAAUGAAAACCGAACAAAACAGUAAUUGAUAGGCUGCGGCCUGAGGGGAAGUUCGGGUUUUACAAAAAAAAUCUAAAAAAAAGGGUCAUUAGCAGUGAUGUGCGCUCUGGAACGUACGCACGACUACGAUCCAACUCCGGCUGUUUGAAGGGAAACGAUCAGCGAGCAGUUUCGGCCCCGGCAUGGAGGACAACCACGACGACAUCACUACUUUACUUGUUUAGAGUUGUCCGAAGUCGUCUGGAGUCAACCGAAGUCGUCCGGAAUCUAUAGAAGUCGUAGUCAUUCGGAGUCGUCUAAAGUCGAUUGGAGGUUACUGGAGUCGUGUAAAGUCGAUUGGAGGUUACUGGAGCCGUCCGGUUACUCCGUGCCACACCGAACGACUCUAGACGACCCUGAGCGACUCUGGAAGACUCUGGACGACUCUGGAAGACUCUGGACGACUCUGGAAGACUCUGGACGACUCCAUGAAACUCUGGACGACUCCAGGAAACUCUGGACGACUCCAGGAAACUCUGGACGACUCCAGGAAACUCUGGACGACUUCAGGAAACUCUUGACGACUUCAACUCCGAACGACUCCGAACGACUCUGCACGACUUCGGAUGAUUCCGGACGACUCCCUUCCGA